GACGAACGCUGGCGGCGUGCCUAAUACAUGCAAGUAGAACGCUGAAGGAGGAGCUUGCUUCUCUGGAUGAGUUGCGAACGGGUGAGUAACGCGUAGGUAACCUGCCUGGUAGCGGGGGAUAACUAUUGGAAACGAUAGCUAAUACCGCAUAAGAGUAGAUGUUGCAUGACAUUUGCUUAAAAGGUGCAAUUGCAUCACUAACAGAUGGACCUGCGUUGUAUUAGCUAGUUGGUGGGGUAACGGCUCACCAAGGCGACGAUCCAUAGCCGGCCUGAGAGGGUGAACGGCCACACUGGGACGGAGACACGGCCCAGACUCCUACGGGAGGCAGCAGUAGGGAAUCGUGGGAAAUGGACGGAAGUCUGACCGAGCAACGCCACGUGAGUGAAGAAGGUUUUCUGAUCGUAAAGCUCUGUUGUAAGAGAAGAAAGAGUGUGAGAGUUGAAAGUUCACACUGUGACGGUAUCUUACCAGAAAGGGACGGCUAACUACGUG
rnacentral:rRNA from 1 species